rnacentral:lncRNA from 1 species
AUGCUGGGAUUUGAGGUGGCUCAAUCUGUGCCUUCUCUUACAGGGCUUAACUCUGGGGGUGGAGACCCACGAGGGACACCUGGAGCCAAAGCUGGAGGAAAAUCCCCGAUCCAAGCCUGUGGAGGGACUGGAAGAGAUGAAAAAGGGGAAAGCAGCAGGGCUGACUUCGGGCUCAUCCCGCCGUGGUUUGGGCUGUGGAGGAGCUGCCUGGGCUGUGGAGGAGCUGCCUGCACCUGCGAGCCUCACUCCAGGAUAAUAUUGACGCAAUCGCGUUUAUUUAUUUAAAAUGUUUGGCAGCGGGUGAGGGAGCAGAAGAACGCGAAACCCUCUUUGCAUUGGAUUCCUGCAGAAUGGCCCUGCCACCCUGGCAGCCACCCGCCAAUUAAAGAUCCAUCAGCAACAAGGAAAACAAACUCACGGAUCCCUAACGCUCCAUAUUAAAAGUUAAUAAUAGAGCCGGCACCUGCAGCAAGAGAGGGGAAUUAAGAGCAGCGCUUGGAGUAACGCGGUAAACGGAGGAGGGAGCAAUUAACAGCCAUAAAGAGAUGAAGAGAAACAAUUAGGAGGGGGCUGAGCACCGGCACGUGCACAGCCGAGCACAGGAGCGAUGCGGAUGUGCCACAUCAUAGGAUCGGAGAAUCAUGGAAUUAUUUGGGAUGGGAGGGACUUAAAGCUCUUCUCAUUCCACCCCCAGGUUGCUCCAACCUGUCCUUGUGCACUCCCAGGGAUGGGGCAGCCACAGCUUCUCUGGGCAACCUGUGCCAGGGCCUCCCCACCCUCACAGGGAGGAAUUUCUUCCCAAAAUCCCAUCUAACGCUGCCCUCUGGCAGUUUGAAGCCACUCCCCUCAUCCUGUCCCUCCAGGCCCCUUGUCCAGUCUCUCUCCAUCUCUCCUAUCGGCUCUUUCAGGUCCUGGAAGGCCACAAUCAGGUCACCUCAAAGCCUUCUCUUCUCCAGGCUGAACAAUCCCAGCUCUCCCAGCUUUUCCUCCCAGCUGAGCUGCUCCAUCCCCCUGAUCCUCUUGGUGCCUCCUCUGCCCUCACUCCAACAGCUCCACG